GGAGUUGUGGCUCAGUGGCAGAGCGCUUGCUUAGCAUGCGUGAGGCACUGGGUUCGAUCCCCCAGCACCA
rnacentral:tRNA from 1 species